rnacentral:rRNA from 1 species
GAUGAACGCUAGCGAUAGGCUUAACACAUGCAAGUCGAGGGACCGGCGCACGGGUGCGUAACGCGUAUGCAACUUGCCUCACAGAGGGGGAUAACACGUCGAAAGACGGACUCAUACAGCGUACUGUGAGAUAGGCAUGCGUCCGAUUAGCUAGUUGGUGAGGUAACUGCUCACCAAGGCGACGAUGGGUAGGGGACAUGAGCUGUUGACCCCCCACACUGGUACGGAGACACGGACCAGACUCCUACGUGAGGCAGCAGUGCGGAAUAUUGGUCAAUGGGCGAGAGCCUGAACCAGCCAAGUCGCGUGAAGGAUGACUGUCUAUGGAUUGUAAACUUCUUUUAUACGGUAAUAUGUACCGUAUGAAUAAGCAUCGGCUAACUCCGUGCCAGCAGCCGCGGUAAUUC